CUCCUGUUGGACGUGAGACCUGCCCUUGGCCACCGCGGCCCUGAGACGCUGCACAGUAUCCUCCCACGGUCUCGAAUGUGCCGGCCGCGGUGGACACGGUGCCCGCGGUGGGCGGUGCGGGUCACCUGGAGCCCAAACGCGGCCAGGCUUCCAACCCUGUGCUGUAAUUGUGGAAACCAGGGGUAGGAGUCUACAAGACCCAAUGUCUCCCUUUGGAAGCCUUACACUCUAAGAAACCUGUGGCCUUUCUUGGGAGGUUAUGGUCCCUAGGCCGCCUGUGGUUGGUUCCUGAGAUGCCCUGUGUUCACCGUGUGCAACAUUGUGUGAUUAGCUCCCCACCGACUGCCUCCCAUGAGAGUUUCUUCUGACCUUGUCCCACUUCUCCCCUGGAAAUAGUAUGAAACACACUGUGCUUCUCAGUGCGUUUCAGUUGGCAUGAGAUGCAGCCUGCGAAAGACCUCCCGAGCUUACCAGCUCUGUCAUCAUAAUCUCUGACCCCCUGGACCUUCCUCCUCAGGACCCUGUCUGUCACUCGUCUGGGUUGAAGUGGCGUCCCAGUGUAGAAGAAAGAUUUACAUGGCAUGUAAUACUAGCACACAAAAAGGUUAACACUUUCAGAUGGACAACUUUCAACAAUAACAACAAAUUGAAGAACAAUUACAGCAGCUGCCACAAGAGAGCUGUUGAAGUCAGCUUUGGCGAUGGUGUUCCUUUGGUUUUGCAAUGCUACACUGAAACUUGAAGAGAAAAUGCUCCUUCUCUAUCUGUGUGACUCCUCCCCCUGCAGAAUAGAGAACUUUGUAUCGUGGAAACAGUGACUCAGGUGCUACACUGGAUGGAUGCUUUCUUUAUAGGCCAAGCAUGAAUUGAAGAUGGGAGAGCCUGCAAUGCUGUGGACGUGAUCUGUCUUCUCCUAAACCCACUGACAUUCACUCUCCACAGUGAGAUAUUGGAAUAUGUCUCCUUGGGUAGACCAAUCUGACCCUGUGACUUUUUUCCACAGAGGACUUAGACUGUUUGGUCGGGUCACUGGCAUACUGAGGGUCUGUACCACCUUGAACCACCACAUGUAAGAAGGCCAUUGCCAACUGUGGGCCCCUCAGCCUGAAACCUUUGAAACUGUGAGAUGAAAUAAAAACCCUUUCUUCAUUAGCCAGUCUGUGUAAUGGUGGUGUUAUCAGCAGGAAAGGAAAAAGACAGGUUCAUUGUUUAAAAUUAAUCCUUUCAGGAUGGCACCAGCAGAAAAUUGAACCAAGCAUGGUACCAAGUAAGC
rnacentral:lncRNA from 1 species